GCCGGGACCACCCGGUAAGGCUAAAUACUCCCAAGAGACCGAUAGUGAACCAGUACCGUGAGGGAAAGGUGAAAAGAACCCCGAACAGGGGAGUGAAAUAGAACCUGAAACCAUACGCUUACAACCUGUCGGAGCGGCUUCGUGCCGUGACGGCGUGCCUAUUGAAUAAUGAGCCUACGAGUUACUAAUCACUGGCAAGGUUAAGUGCACGGAUGCACGGAGCCGAAGCGAAAGCGAGUCUGAAUAGGGCGUUUAGUCAGUGGUUGUAGACGCGAAACCUUGCGAUCUACCCUUGAGCAGGUUGAAGGUUGGGUAAAACCAACUGGAGGACCGAACGAAUAAGCGUUGAAAAGCUUCUCGAUGACUUGAGGGUAGGGGUGAAAGGCUAAUCAAGCUGGGAAAUAGCUCGUACUCCCCGAAAUGCCUUUAGGGGCAGCGUUGUAAUUAAGAGUCUACUGGAGGUAGAGCUACUGAUUGGAUGCGGGGGCUUCACCGCCUACCAAAUCCUGACAAACUCCGAAUGCCAGUAGUAUGAUUUACAGCAGUGAGCGACCGGGUGCUAAUGUCCGGUUACGAGAGUGGAACAACACAGACCAGCAACUAAGGUCCCCAAGAGUAUACUAAGUUGAUCUAACGAUGUUUUGCUGCAGAGACAGCUAGGAUGUUAGCUUGGAAGCAGCUAUUCAUUCAAAGAGUGCGUAACAGCUCACUAGUCGAGCGGCAAAGCGUGGAUAAUAAACGGGCAUCAAGUAUACCACCGAAGUUCUGGGCACGAAAGUGCGGUAGGGGAGCAUUCCAUUCCGCGUUGAAGCCGAACCGUGAGGUUUGGUGGAGUGUAUGGAAAAGCAAAUGUAGGCAUGAGUAACGAUAAUGCGGGAGAGUAACCCGCACACCGCAAGACCAAGGUUUCCUGAUCAACGCUAAUCGGAUCAGGGUUAGUCGGGUCCUAAGGGUAAGCCGAACGGUGAUCUCGAUGGAUAAUCGGUUAAUAUUCCGAUACUGACAUAUACCUCGAUGGAGAGACGAAGGAACGUAAGUGCCGCCACCUGACGGAAUAGGUGGUUAAAGGGCUUAGGUAUAGGGGCAGAUUAAGAGUUAGUCCUUGCUGAAACCUGACAGUACAGAGAGCCUACGGGCAAUUUGAUAGUGCACCCAAGUCGACUUCCGAGAAAAUCUUCUAAGUUAUAGUAUAUGUCACCCGUACCGUAAACCGACACAGGUGGUCGAGGAGAGUAUCCUAAGGUGCUCGAGUGAAUCACGGUUAAGGAACUAGGCAAAUUAACCCCGUAACUUCGGGAAAAGGGGUCCCAUCGCGAGGUGGGCGCAGCGAAGAGGUUCAGGCGACUGUUUAUCAAAAACACAGGGCUCUGCAAAUUCGAAAGAAGACGUAUAGGGCCUGACACCUGCCCGGUGCUGGAAGGUUAAGAGGGGAUGUCAUCGCAAGAGAAGCAUUGAAUCGAAGCCCCAGUAAACGGCGGCCGUAACUAUAACGGUCCUAAGGUAGCGAAAUUCCUUGUCGGGUAAGUUCCGACCUGCACGAAUGGUGUAACGAUCUGGACACUGUCUCAACCGUGAGCUCGGUGAAAUUGUAGUCCCGGUGAUGAUGCCGGGUACCCGCAACGGGACGAAAAGACCCCGUGAACCUUUACUAUAGCUUAACGCUGAAUUUGGGUACACAAUGUGUAGGAUAGGCAGGAGACUACGAAGCGGGCACGCCAGUGUUCGUGGAGUCGACGUUGAAAUACUGCCCUUUGUGUACUUGAGUUCUAACCCUCGAGAGGGGACACCGUUUGGUGGGUAGUUUGACUGGGGUGGUCGCCUCCAAAAGAGUAACGGAGGCUUCCCAAGGUACCCUCAGCACGAAUGGUAACCGUGCGUAGAGUGCAAUAGCAUAAGGGUGCUUGACUGUGAGACCAACAAGUCGAUCAGGUGCGAAAGCAGGGUAUAGUGAUCCGGUGGUUCUGCGUGGACUGGCCAUCGCUCAAAGGAUAAAAGGUACUCCGGGGAUAACAGGCUGAUCGCCGCCAAGAGCUCAUAUCGACGCGGCGGUUUGGCACCUCGAUGUCGGCUCGUCACAUCCUGGGGCUGG
rnacentral:rRNA from 1 species